rnacentral:rRNA from 1 species
UACGUAGGGUGCAAGCGUUAAUCGGAAUUACUGGGCGUAAAGCGUGCGCAGGCGGUGAUGUAAGACAGGUGUGAAAUCCCCGGGCUUAACCUGGGAACUGCAUUUGUGACUGCAUCGCUGGAGUGCGGCAGAGGGGGAUGGAAUUCCGCGUGUAGCAGUGAAAUGCGUAGAUAUGCGGAGGAACACCGGUGGCGAAGGCG